rnacentral:lncRNA from 11 species
CGUUGUGAUUCAAUAUGGUUGAAUGAAAGGCCUCAAUGGAAAAAUAUUGCUCCGUUUCAAUCCUGCACUAUCUUUUAGCACAGUGUUGGUGGUCUAGCUAGUGCGGAAGCACUAUUUUAUAACGACCUUUAAGUAAUAGUUGAAACCGUCGUCUCGGCUUCUUUUAAGUUUGCCUGCGCAUUUUCUGCCGGCUUUUAAGUACCGAUUGUUAAAAGCUUUCGUCGGAUAAAAGCCGCAAAUUGUUAUCGCAUACUGUGAAGGCCAUAUCUGUAGCUGUUUUCGUCAUAAAACGGCAUGUUUUUAUCGUAUCCCCUGCGUCACUCCAACCUUUGUUUAUUGUGUCAGGUAAAAAUAAUAGGGAUGCUUUCGUUGAAAGCAUAUUUUGAACGGAGGGACUGGCUGUUUAGGUAGGCAUGUGGCCAGUUUAAGUCACUCCCCUAUAAAUAUGACAAAGAGAGUACAAAAUGUCAUAAGCAACAUAAAAAUCAUUGUGUAAAGAAAUGACAAUAGCGGGUGUACUUAAUUAGUGUAAAAAAUUGCGUCCCAUUUUUGCGAAUGCUAAAAUUGCCCAACGAAAACAACCUACGGUAUAGUGGUAUGGGUUAGACUUGAAUAUACGAAAAGUGGCGAGUGGAACGGUACUCAGGCUGGUCAAGCGUAACGGUGCAGUGAGUUGGCCUUGUGAGGUCGAAUAGCUUUUUGAAAUAUCACUGAAGUUUAGCAUGGAGCUCCAGUCCGAAAGCCGGUUCAAGAUUGGCAUCUUGUAAGCGGAGGGUAGGCCCCGUGUCCGUUGGCCAUCUGAGGGUCAAUCGAAAGUGUUUUUCAAGAAGGACGACCGGCAAGCAAUCUAUGAACUGGACGAGAAAAUAGAUUGCAGUUACACGACUGUCGACAAGCAGCUUAGAUCUAUGGGAUUUGCUCAAUAAUUAGGAGCACGGAUGCCCCAUAUGCUGAAAUGGCAUCGCAUAGGAGCGCGGCUUCUCAUCACCUCUCAACGUCUUGCCCGGCACCGAGCAACAUGCCGCGACAAUGAAAGGUUUCUACGUAAAACUGCCACCGGUGAUGAGAAUGGUGUUCCGACGUCGGUAGAAAACAGAAAGAGAUGCUCCGUCCGAUACGCUCAAGCUCAAAACUAAUUUAGAUCUUUAUCGCAAGAGAACGAUGAUUUGCGUUCGAUGGUACUAAAAGCGCUUUAUACACUGGGAACUUCUAAGAGGAAUACGGCGGUCGACAGGGAUCUGUAUAUAGCCAAGCUGAAUUUAGUGAACGAGGCAAUUCAGUAGAGAAGAGCCAAUCGGUGAGGUGGUCACACCGCAGAAGCGCUUUAUUCGAGUUAAUACGACGUAGUUGUAUCGAAGCUGCUGACGCGACCCGAAAUUGAGCAGAUCUGUGCGACUACGCAGCAAAACAAUGCAGCUACGAUAAAACCGUUCCUCUUGUGCUCUGGUCUAUAGCAGUACGAGAAGAUCUCAUAAGGGAGCAGUAAGCAUUCUUUUUUAUGGAGGAUCAGCCGGAAACUUCUCGGAGUAACUUCAGAUCUCAUACUCAAAGAUGUGAGACCUUCCUCAAAUAAACGUCAAUCAUAUAGGGUUUUUUCUCACGUUCACCGGAACAGUUAAUACAUUAUUUCGGCAAUCGCAGCCAUUGGUCACGCCCCCUCUGUAGGAAGCUGCCAACCACAAUAAGGACAGCUGUACAGCUUGAAGGAUCAGAAUCGAUUUUCGGAGGAAUGAGCUUCAACCAUGACCAAGGACUCGGGCAAUGUGUCGAGUUCAAAAGGGCCGUUGUGGACCAACGUCCCGAAAUACCAGUCCCGGUCGUUAAUGACCGAGAAGAUUGGAAGAGAUCGUUGAAGCAAAUACGCCUAGAUCCUAAAAUGUGUUGGAAAAUAAAUACAUGAAUUAAACGA